rnacentral:rRNA from 1 species
GACGAACUGCCCAAACGUUGUUCGGAAUCACUGGGCGUAAAGGGCGCGUAGGUGGCGCGAGUAGUCAACGGUGAAAGCCCGGGGCUCAACCCCGGGUCGGCCGUCGAUACUCUCGUGCUUGAGCACUGUAGAGGCAGGUGGAAUUCCGGGUGUAGCGGUGGAAUGCGUAGAGAUCCGGAAGAACACCGGUGGCGAAGGCGGCCUGCUGGGCAGUAGCUGACACUGAGGCGCGACAGCGUGGGGAGCAAACAGG